UACGGGGGGGGCAAGCGUUGUUCGGAACUACUGGGCGUAAAGGGCUCGUAGGCGGCCAACUAAGUCAGACGUGAAAUCCCCAGGCUUAACCUGGGAACUGCGUCUGAUACUGGAUGGCUUGAAUUCGGGAGAGGGAUGCAGAAUUCCAGGUGUAGCGGUGAAAUGCGUAGAUAUCUGGAGGAAUACCGGUGGCGAAGGCGGCAUCCUGGACUGGUCCUGACACUCAGGAGCGAAAGCGUGGGGAGCGAUCCGG
rnacentral:rRNA from 1 species